AGAAUCAACGCUGGCGGCGUGCCUAACACAUGCAAGUCGAACGAGAAAGGGGAGCAAUCCCUGAGUAAAGUGGCGCACGGGUGAGUAACACGUGACUAACCUACCCUGGAGGGGGGGAUAACUGAGGGAACCUUAGCUAAUACCGCAUAACACCUACGGGUCAAAGGAGCAAUUCGCUUUGGGAGGGGGUCGCGGCCGAUUAGUUAGUUGGCGGGGUAAUGGCCCACAAGACAGUGAUCGGUAUCC
rnacentral:rRNA from 1 species